rnacentral:rRNA from 1 species
GAACGGGUGAGUAACGCGUGAGGAACCUGCCUCAAAGAGGGGGACAACAGUUGGAAACGACUGCUAAUACCGCAUAAGCCCACGGGUCGGCAUCGACCAGAGGGAAAAGGAGCAAUCCGCUUUGAGAUGGCCUCGCGUCCGAUUAGCUAGUUGGUGAGGUAAUGGCCCACCAAGGCAACGAUCGGUAGCCGGACUGAGAGGUUGAACGGCCACAUUGGGACUGAGACACGGCCCAGACUCCUACGGGAGGCAGCAUG